UAAAAAAAACAAACAAAAAAAGAGACCGUUUUUUUUUCAUUUGAAUUUUUGAAUUUUUUGGGGGUGUUUUUUUUCUUUUUUCUUUCUUUUUUCUUUCUUU
rnacentral:ribozyme from 13 species